AGUGUAGGCGGGAUUGUAAGUUAGGAGUUUAAUACAUGGGCUUAACCCAUGAGCUGCUUUUAAUACUGCGGUUCUUGAGUAUGGGAGAGGGCGAUGGAAUUCCAGGUGUAGCGGUGGAAUGCGUAGAUAUCUGGAAGAACACCAGUAGCGAAGGCGGUCGCCUGGCCCAAUACUGACGCUGAUGCUCGAAAGCUAGGGGAGCAAACAGGAUUAGAUACCCUGGUAGUCCUAGCCGUAAACGAUGGACACUAGUUGCUGGAGGAGUCAAUCCUUUCGGUGACGAAGCUAACGCAUUAAGUGUCCCGCCUGGGGGGUACGUUCGCAAGGAUGAA
rnacentral:rRNA from 1 species